rnacentral:lncRNA from 1 species
GGGAAAACGACUGGUUAACUUUGCUUCUCCUUGUUUGUGGUUGUUCUGGGGUGCUCCUCUGGGGUUCUCAUCUCACCUCCCUGCUCCUCCUUGUUUAACAUCCUGAUUUCAGAGCUUCCCUGGGCACCGCCUCCCUGCUCCAAACACCAGCUGGGAUUCCAAAGCAACAGUCUUACCUCCCUGGGUGUUUGAGUCACCCUGCAGGCAGCAUGUGCUGCUGAUGAGAGCUCGGGAUUGCAAUCAUGAAUGGUCUUGGAUUCCAAUCCUGCCAUGUGUCAGCUGUGUAUCACCGACGACGACAACACAGAAUGUUUCUGUCUUGCUUUUGUCAUCUGUAAGAUGACGUUCACAACAGCACAGUCCCAGCGCUACCACGGCCCCAACAGAGUCAGCUGUACUCAAGACAGAGGAAGACGCCAUGAUGUCAACUGUACUGAUGGAUACCUAGGAAUCUAAGAUGAGGGCUGGGGAGAUGGCUCAGGUGGCAAAGUCUUGCAAACAUGAAGACCUGAGUUUGAUUCCCAGAACCUGUGCAAAAAUAAAAAUGAAAAUGAAACGGGAAAAAAAAAAAAAAAAAAA